GUAUACACAGUCAGUCUUACUCUGUCCCGCACAAUCGAUUUCUCUCCCAGACCUCCUUCAUCUCCCAGUCAUCCUUCGUCUCUCAGACCUCCCAGUCCGCCUUCGUCUCCCCAACUCAAUUUGGCUGCAGUGAUCAUCUUCUUCGUCUCCUAUUCUGCAAUUGUUCAGAAUAGAAGCGAUAUUCCUCUUCUUUUUGUAAUCAAAUGAACAAGCAGGUGGUUCAGCAAUUGCAGGACCUGUACGGUCAGGAUCGCAUCGUAAGUAGAAGCUUCUAUAUAGUUGUGGAUUUUGAGUUUAGGGUUUGAUUGAUUUGGUUGUUUUUAUGUUGACGUGUUGAUGCAGCUGCUGCAAGCUAGACCGAAGAAGCUCAGUUUGGGAACGACUUACAUUCAUGGAUUGAAGCAUGCGUCUGGGAAUUUUGUUGUGAUAAUGGAUGCAUAUUUGUCCCGUCAUGUAAGUUGAUCAUCAUUCUGAUAUGUCUUUCUUGGAUAUGCUUAAUUUCUUUGAUUAAAUUUGUUAAGUGGGCGAUGAAUGUUUGUUUUGUAUAAAUGAAGAAUUUGAAUCCUAUUUGUGUUGGGUGAUAUUGUAAUGCCAUUUUUGGUGUUGA